rfam:Lautropia sp. SCN 69-89 ABS56_C0014, whole genome shotgun sequence.
GGGUGCUUAGCUCAGCUGGUAGAGCGGCGCCCUUACAAGGCGUAGGUCGGGAGUUCGAACCUCUCAGCACCCA